GGAUGGGUGGCAGAGCGGUUGAAUGCACCGGUCUUGAAAACCGGCAGACAUGAAAGUGUCUCGUGGGUUCAAAUCCCACCCCAUCCG
rnacentral:tRNA from 2 species